rnacentral:tRNA from 5 species
GGAGCGGUAGUUCAGUUGGUUAGAAUACCUGCCUGUCACGCAGGGGGUAGCGGGUUCGAGUCCCGUCCGUUCCGCCA